UGUUGUCAAGUUUGGUGUUUAUGACGUCGAAUAUCGACGUCAUAAACACCAUCAAGUUUGGUGUUUAUGACGUCGAUAUUCGACGUCAUAAACACCAUCAAGU